rnacentral:rRNA from 1 species
AUUGAACGCUGGCGGCAGGCCUAACACAUGCAAGUCGAGCGAGCGGCGGACGGGUGAGUAAUGUCUGGGAAACUGCCUGAUGGAGGGGGAUAACUACUGGAAACGGUAGCUAAUACCGCAUACCAUCAGAUGUGCCCAGAUGGGAUUAGCUAGUAGGUGGGGUAACGGCUCACCUAGGCGACGAUCCCUAGCGGGUCUGGGGGGAUGACCAGCCACACUGGAACUGAGACACGGUCCAGACUCCUACGGGGGGCAGCGUGGGGAAAUAUUGCAAAAUGGGCGCAGGCCGGAUGCACCCAGCCCGCGUGUGUGAAGAGGGCUUUCGGGUUUAAAGCACUUUCAGCGGGGAGGCGUUACCCGCAGAAGAAGCACCGGCUAACUCCGUGCCAGCAGCCGCGGUAAUUC